rnacentral:rRNA from 1 species
CCCCUAGAUGUUCUGGGCCGCACGCGCGCUACACUGAACAGUUCAACAAGUCUUAACCUUGGCCGAUAGGUCUGGGUAAUCUUUGAACGCUGUUCGUGAUUGGGAUAGACCUUUGCAAUUAUGGGUCUUCAACGAGGAAUUCCUAGUAAACGCAAGUCAUCAGCUUGCAUUGAUUACGUCCCUGCCCUUUGUACACACCGCCCGUCGCACCUACCGAUUGAAUGGUCCGGUGAGACUUUCGGACCGCAGCGAAAGUUCAUUCAUUUGAGCUUAGCAGCGGAAAGUUAUUCAAACCUUACCAUUUAGAGGAAGGUGAAGUCGUAACA